rnacentral:rRNA from 1 species
GGCGGACGGGUGAGUAACGCGUGGGAAUCUACCCAGUAGUGGGGGACAACUACCGGAAACGGUAGCUAAUACCGCAUACGCCCUAUGGGGGAAAGGCUUCGGCCGCUAUUGGAUGAGCCCGCGUCAGAUUAGCUAGUUGGUAGGGUAAAGGCCUACCAAGGCAACGAUCUGUAGCUGGUCUGAGAGGACGAACAGCCACACUGGGACUGAGACACGGCCCAGACUCCUACGGGAGGCAGCAGUGGGGAAUAUUGGACAAUGGGCGAAAGCCUGAUCCAGCGAUGCCGCGUGUGUGAAGAAGGCCUGCGGGUUGUAAAGCACUUUCAGUUGGGAAGAUGAUGACGUUACCAACAGAAGAAGCACCGGCUAAAUCCGUGCCAGCAGCCGCGGUAAUACGGAUGGUGCGAGCGUUAAUCGGAAUUACUGGGCGUAAAGCGCGC